GUUGUGGCCAUCACACAGUGUUUUCCAAACUGAUUCACGAUCUGAAAGUGCGCAGAUUUAACGUACAUAAUCCUUUGUUAGGUUUAUUAUUUUCAUUUCACACGUAAAACACAUUUAUAGAUUCAUUCACCACUCCUGUUAGUUUUGGAUGCGCUCGGCUCCAACCAAUCAGACGCAACCUGUGUAAGCAAAGGCUGAUGGGAGAACGGAGAGACCCGUUUAUAAGAAUAAGAAAAUGAGGCGGAACUGAUUGAUUCUAAUACAGGUAUGUAAAAAAUACAUAUAUUUAAAGUAAUACCUUGAUGUGUGUUUCAAAGUUUGUUUUUUCAUAAAAGCUUCAAACAAACAGAGGUGACUGAUCUCAGAAACGGUGUAAUGUAUUUAAAAAUGGCCACAGCUACCGUCAGCAUGCUUGCUAGGUAACACUACACGUGUCUACUGCAGCAUUAGCCAUUUAAUCCAACGAUGAUGGAUUAAAUCUAUUACAAACGUUAAAGGACUUGUGUGCUGCAAAAUACCCUCACAUAGUGCGUAAAGCAGUUUUUGCGCUAAGAGUUCUGCUAGCUCUUUACAAACUGAUGAUGCUAACGUUAAUUGCUAACAUUAACCGGAGCGCCAAGACUGAAAAUCAUUUGAAUUGCGUUAGUUAUGUGUUUAUGUCACUGAGUUCUGCAAAAAUCUCUUUCCUCUGUAGCUUGAAAAUGAGUGAUUCAGAGGAUCCCGAGCUGGAGGAAGAGCUUCAGGCUGCUGACCAACUCCUUCAAGAUAUGCAGAAUGAUGCACAGAGUGAACCUCAGCCAAGACCAGUGCGCUG